rnacentral:rRNA from 1 species
UACGUAGGGGGCAAGCGUUGUCCGGAUUUAUUGGGCGUAAAGAGCGUGUAGGCGGCCAGAUAGGUCUGUUGUGAAAACUCGAGGCUCAACCUCGAGACGCCGAUGGAAACCAUCUGGCUAGAGUCCGGAAGAGGAGAGUGGAAUUCCUGGUGUAGCGGUGAAAUGCGCAGAUAUCAGGAAGAACACCCGUGGCUAAGACGGCUCUCUAGUACGGUACUGACGCUGAGACGCGAAAGCGUGGGGAGCGAACAGG